rnacentral:rRNA from 1 species
GUGGGGAAUCUUCCGCAAUGGACGAAAGUCUGACGGAGCAACGCCGCGUGAGUGAAGAAGGUUUUCGGAUCGUAAAGCUCUUUCGUUAGGGACGAACGUGCUCUUUGUGAAUAAUGAGGAGUAAUGACGGUACCUAAAUAAGAAGCCACGGCUAACUACGUGCCAGCAGCCGCGGUAAUACGUAGGUGGCAAGCGUUGUCCGGAAUUAUUGGACGUAAAGCGCGCGCAGGCGGGAUAUCAAGUCUGUCUUAAAAGUGCGAGGCUCAACCUCGUGAGGGGACAGAAACUGGUAUUCUUGAGUGUCGGAGAGGAAAGUGGAAUUCCAAGUGUAGCGGUGAAAUGCGUAGAGAUUUGGAAGAACACCAGUGGCGAAGGCGACUUUCUGGACGAUGUCUGACGCUGAGGCGCGAAAGCUAGGGGAGCGAACGGGAUUAGAAACCCCGGUAGUCC